GAUGAAUGCUGGCGGCGUGCUUAACACAUGCAAGUCGAGCGGAAAGGCCCUUCGGGGUACUCGAGCGGCGGACGGCUGAGUAACGCGUGGGAACAUGCCCCAAAGUGAGGAAUAACUGCCCGAAAGGGUGGCUAAUGCCGCAUAUGAUCUUCGGAUUAAAGGAUUUAUCCGCUUUGGGAGUGGCCUGCGUAUGAUUAGGUAGUUGGUGAGGUAAUGGCUCACCAAGCCGACGAUCAUUAGCUGGUCUGAGAGGAUGACCAGCCAGACUGGAACUGAGACACGGUCCAGACUCCUACGGGAGGCAGCAGUGAGGAAUAUUCCACAAUGGGCGAAAGCCUGAUGGAGCAACGCCGCGUGAAGGAUGAAGGCCCUCGGGUUGUAAACUUCUUUUAUAAGUGAAGAAUAUGACGGUAACUUAUGAAUAAGCACCGGCUAACUACGUGCCAGCAGCCGCGGUAAUAC
rnacentral:rRNA from 1 species